AGAGGGGGCAAGCGUUGGUCGGAAUUACUGGGCGUAAAGGGCGCGUAGGCGGCCUGCUAAGUCGAACGUGAAAUCCCCGAGCUCAACUCGGGAACUGCGUCCGAUACUGACAGGCUUGAAUCCGGGAGAGGGAUGCGGAAUUCCAGGUGUAGCGGUGAAAUGCGUAGAUAUCUGGAGGAACACCGGUGGCGAAGGCGGCAUCCUGGACCGGCAUUGACGCUGAGGCGCGAAAGCGUGGGGAUCAAACAGG
rnacentral:rRNA from 1 species